rnacentral:rRNA from 1 species
UAGGGAAUCUUCGGCAAUGGACGAAAGUCUGACCGAGCAACGCCGCGUGAGUGAAGAAGGUUUUCGGAUCGUAAAACUCUGUUGGUAGAGAAGAACGUUGGUGAGAGUGGAAAGCUCAUCAAGUGACGGUAACUACCCAGAAAGGGACGGCUAACUACGUGCCAGCAGCCGCGGUAAUACGUAGGUCCCGAGCGUUGUCCGGAUUUAUUGGGCGUAAAGCGAGCGCAGGUGGUUUAUUAAGUCUGGUGUAAAGGCAGUGGCUCAACCAUUGUAUGCAU